AACGGUGGAACACGGCAGCCUUGCUCUGUGGGAUCAGUGGCGAACGUUNUGAGUAACACGUGAGCAACCUGCCCCUGACUCUGGGAUAAGCGCUGGAAACGGCGUCUAAUACUGGAUACGAACCACGAAGGCAUCUUCAGUGGUUGGAAAGAAUUUCGGUUGGGGAUGGGCUCGCGGCCUAUCAGCUUGUUGGUGAGGUAAUGGCUCACCAAGGCGUCGACGGGUAGCCGGCCUGAGAGGGUGACCGGCCACACUGGGACUGAGACACGGCCCANACUCCUACGGGAGGCAGCAGUGGGGAAUAUUGCACAAUGGGCGAAAGCCUGAUGCAGCAACGCCGCGUGAGGGAUGACGGCCUUCGGGUUGUAAACCUCUUUUAUCUUUUAAGAAGCGAAAGUGACGGUACCUGCAGAAAAAGCGCCGGCUAACUACUGCCAGCAGCCGCCGUAAUACGUA
rnacentral:rRNA from 1 species